rfam:Stegodyphus mimosarum contig99146, whole genome shotgun sequence.
GCCAUCGUAGUAUAGCGGUCAGCACGCUCGACGAGUAAUCGAGAAGUCCGUGGUUCGAUUCCCGGCAAAGGCG